CCUACGGGAGGCAGCAGUGGGGAAUAUUGCACAAUGGGGGAAACCCUGAUGCAGCGACGCCGCGUGAGUGAUGAAGUAAUUCGGUAUGUAAAGCUCUGUCAGCAGGGAAGAAAAUGACGGUACCUGAGUAAGAAGCCCCGGCUAACUACGUGCCAGCAGCCGCGGUAAUACGUAGGGGGCAAGCGUUAUCCGGAUUUACUGGGGGUAAAGGGAGCGUAGACGGGAGUGUAAGUCAGGGGUGAAAGGCGGGGGCUCAAACCCCGGACAGCUUUGGAAACUGUACGGCUGGAGUGCAGGAGAGGAGAGUGGAAUUCCUAGUGUAGCGGUGAAAUGCGUAGAUAUUAGGAGGAACACCAGUGGCGAAGGCGGCUUACUGGACUGUAACUGACGUUGAGGCACGAAAGCGUGGGGAGCAAACAGGAUUAGAUACCCUAGUAGUC
rnacentral:rRNA from 1 species